rnacentral:sRNA from 1 species
CGGGAGGCCAGGGUCUCUGGUGCGGGUGGAUGUGUGCAGCCCAGAUGCCACGUCUGAGUGUGUGUGUCUGGAGACGGGGGCUCUGGGCCCCAGUUCUAGAGGAAGUGUGAGCCUGGGGAGGGGACAGAGGGCUGAUUACCAGUUGCCUCCUCCUCCUCAGGGAGCAGCCGCCUGGACCGAAGCUACAGCUAUAGCUACAGCAAUGGCCCAGGUCCAUUCUAUAAUAAAGGGCUCAUCUCUGAAGAGGAGCUCAGGGCCAGUGUGGCUUCCCUGAGCAGUGAGAACCCCUAUGCCACCAUCCGGGACCUGCCCAGCUUGCCAGGGGGCCCCCGGGAGAGCAGCUACAUGGAGAUGAAAGGCCCUCCCUCAGGAUCUUCCCCCAGGCAGCCUCCUCAGUUCUGGGACAGCCAGAGGCGGCGGCAACCCCAGUCACAGAGAGACAGUGGCACCUAUGAGCAGCCCAGUCCCCUGAUCCAUGACCGAGACUCUGUGGGCUCCCAGCCCCCUCUGCCUCCGGGCCUACCCCCCGGCCACUAUGACUCACCCAAGAACAGCCACAUCCCUGGACAUUAUGACUUGCCUCCAGUACGGCAUCCCCCAUCACCUCCACUUCGACGUCAGGACCGUUGAGGAGCCAGGAUGGUGUGGCAGAGGCCAGCACACCUGGCUGUUGCUGCUCAAGGCUGGGGACAGAGCCUAGUGUACCCCUGCCAGGAGCAGGGAGUGGACCGGCAGGCCGUGAACAUGAACAACACUUAACGGAGCAAGUGAUGGGAGCCUCGUUCCUGGGUUCUACCAUGGGAGACGCUGAUCAGCAGGAUGCCUGGCUCCCUUUCCCAACCCACUGCUCCCAAGGCCCCCAGGGCCCUGUGUACAUAAACUGGUGGGUUGGAAGUUGCUGGGUAACUCUGAUUUCAGACGUGUGUGUGGGGUACCUUUUCUGUGCACGCUUGGGCUGGGCUCUGUGCGUGUGUGUGUUU